GCAAGUGUGGUGGAAUUGGUGAUACACAUUGUGCUUAAAACGCAACGCUUAAAUGCUUGAGGGUUCGAAUCCCUCCACUUGCACCA
rnacentral:tRNA from 5 species